UUGCAUUACCAGAUGAAUAAAGAAUGAAAGAAUAAAUAUUAUACACUUUAUGGGAGAGGGGUACAUUUGUUAUGAAUGGGGAUGGUUCAUGGCAAUCAAACAAUAAGAAUAUAUGCCUCAAUCAUCAUACAAGUACGUAACAGUUAUCAAUCAAAUCAGAUAAGUAAACAGGUAUAUAAUCAAAUCAAAGAAUCAAAGAAUGAAAUAACGGAGCUUAAAACAAGGCAUGAGAAGUAUGAACAUGUUAAACAA
rnacentral:lncRNA from 1 species